UAUUUUGCAUUGCGUCCUCAACAUUACAUUAAGGGCAAUAAUAGCAUACUUUUAUUUACAACUCGCAGGAUUUCCAUGGGUGAGCUUUCAACCCAAAUCUGUACAGCAUUGUUAGUCUUUACUGAUAAGAAACCGCGGGAGCAGUUGUCUGAUUCUCGCUCGUGCUGGAGGAGCGUUCAUUUUGGCAAGGAAAUGUGCUGAUUUUGCAACGACAUGGAGAAGAAAGUGUUCAAGGAAUCAGUGGGAAUGACCUCACCCUCACAGACCUGGGUGACCCCAUCAAUGACGGUGAUGUUAUGAAGGAAGUCAAACCUGAUACAGAUCAGAGAGACAGACCAAGUUGGAAGAGGCUGUUCUAGAGACAGAUAUCCCAACUCUGUGACUUGAGGAUGAAGGAGAAAUUAAGAUGCAGGAGGCUGAUCUGAAGACAGAUGGCACAUCUCAGUCACAGGAGGUUGAGGGAGAGAGCGAGUUGGACGAGGCCAUUGUCAUCCCAUCUCAGUCACAGGAGGUAUGAUGCAUUGCGUUUUGUGUUUUAAUGACGCAGUGAAGAUUAAAAUGCCAAAUUAAUUUCCCAAGCUUUAGCUUAUAAAGGUCUUCUAAUCUAGGAGGCCAAAGGAGAGAGUGAGUUAAAUCAGGUUGAUCUGAAGACAGCCACAUCAACUCUGACACUGGAGGUCGAAGGAUAGAGUGUGAUGCAGGAGAGUGAUGAUCUAGAGACAGCUGGGACAUCUCAAUCCCAGGAGACUGAACGAGUGGCAAAGGUAAAUGCUUCCAGAUAACAGUGUGUGUGUGUGUACAUGUCUGUUUGUGCACACAGACAGUAGUUCGUAAACAGACAUUGCGUGAACAGUGCCUAUGGCGAAUUUGAUUGAAUUCCAGCCUAAGUCUGCUUUCUGUCAUCCCCAUCAGGCUGCAGUGGUGACCUUCACUACCAUGACCCGCAAGGCUGCAGCCUCCCAGACCAGCCUCACCCUCAGCAGGGGAAAGAGAAGCUACCCAGACCUACACGCCUUUGUGCAGGACAUAAAGGAUGGGUAGUUGCUCUUUGGUUCCCCAUGCAUCCCCUAGAUAUGUUCGCUAUUAGAGCCUUGGUCAACAAUAGUUCCGUAUUUAAGGAAUAGGGGCCAUUUGGGACGUACCCAUAGGGACAAUCUCAAUUGCAUUCUCCUCGAGUCCUCUCUUCUCGCCUCCUUCUCAAACCCAUUGGAUGAGAAAGCCCUCCCUUUUGACCUUCUCGUCCAAUGGGUUUUGAGAAGGAGGUGAGGUGUCUCGGGAAAUACAAGGGACUCAACUGACCAAUCAGGGAUGUUUGGAUGUGGCCUACUUCCGUAGAGGUCCAUCCAUAACGUAAUCUAAGAGAAUAGAGGUAAUAUCAUGUAGUUUAUUUGUGUACCUGUUUUUAUUUACUUUUCAGCCAUUGGAAUCUGCUGAGUGAGAAUAUGCGUGCCGGGGUGAGUUAUAGUCACUUCUAAAGUAGUUCAUGUUGGUAAGAUGGACCAAACAUUCCAAACUCUUAUUGGUGGAAAUCGUGCAGGAGCUUUAAUUCAGAGGUUCCCAAACUUUUCUACUUAGGCCCCCCUUUCCAGCAUUGUGGAACAUCCUGAACCACUGCUUUAAUUGACUAGCUUGAGUAAACACAUGGUGCAGCAGUGCAGCUCCGUUAAAAGACCAUAUUGAGUUAGUUUGUUAACAUUUCAGAUGAGCAGAGAUGAGUUUAGUGCUAGGUGCAUAUGGAUAUUACAAAUUGGGUGAUGGAGUCUACAUCCACUGUGGUCGUUCCUGCCAUUGACCUCACUAUGCAGAUCGAGCUCUCUGAUUCGUCAAGCUCUUCUGGAUCAGGAAGUAAUGAGACAAGAGAAGUGACCUCUCUUGGCCGCAGCGUCAGAUUCAGCUUUUGUGGUGGACCCAGUAGACGCACCAGUUCUGGAACUGCUUGAAGCACACAAACUCCCACGCCUUUCCCCUCCUCUCACAGGUACCUAUCCCCAUCCCCUCCUCUCACAGGUACCUACCCCCAUCCCCUCCUCUCACAGGUACCUACCAUUAUAGGUACCUACCCCUAUCCCCUUUUCUCACAGUUACCUACCAUUAUAGGUACCUACUCCUAUCCCCUUCUCUCACAGGUACCUACCCCUAUCCCUUCCUCUCAUGGGAACCUACCCCUUUCCCCUCCGCUUGUAGGUCUUUCUAAAAACAUUAUUCCCAUGUCCCUUAUCAUAAGUACAAAUAUCCAUUCCGGAUCCACUUAGUGUUGAAAUACUACACAACUACUCUAAAAGGUUUACUCUAAAU